UCAGUGUGUUUCCAAGCUAAUAUUGCUUGAUUCACUUCAUUAAGAG
rnacentral:misc_RNA from 1 species